GUGCUUGCUUCGGCAGCACAUAUACUAAAAUUGGAACUAUACAGAGAAGAUUAGCGUGGCCCCUGUGCAAGGAUGACACGCAAAUUCGUGAAGCAUUCCAUAUAUUU
ensembl:snRNA U6 U6 spliceosomal RNA